rnacentral:rRNA from 1 species
AAACACAGCUCCCUGCGAACUCGUAAGAGGAUGUAUAGGGGGUGAUGCCUGACCAAUGCCGGAAGGUCAAGUACGGAGGGUACAUGCAUUUAUGUAUGUGCUGGACUGUAUAAGCCCCGGUCAAUGUCGGCGAUAACUAUAAGAUGAUUGUAGUUAUAAAAUUCAGCUAUAUGCUGGAAACUCUGCGCAUAUCAAAGUACCCAAGUAAAUUAUUUGGGUAAUAAUCUUUGAUCGAUGUCUAAUUCUAACGGAUUAGAUAAGCAGACAAUCAGCAGGGAAGAUUCUUGAUUGUUGAAAAGUGCGAAAAAGUGAAGCGAAGGAGAAAGAUGAUGAAAGACAUCGGAAAACUGCUACCGGGAAAGACGAUCAAAUUGGUCGUUCUCCCCGACGACGCCCCGACAGACGGAAAUCCAUAUCAGGUCGAAUUCCAAUUCACCGAUAGAUCGUCCGUUACCAUCGUUGCGGUGGACAGCGUCGAAGACAAGGGCGAGUUCGAGACCGUGUACGGGUCUCCCGAUCCGAUUCCGAAUCUGUAAAGAAAUCACUUCGACAGUUCUUAAAACAGGCAAGUUCGCUUGCCCGCACUUUUCAACAAUCAAGAAAACCCACAGAGACUACACGCUGAACUCGCUUCUCUUAAUUGAGAAAUAACGAGAUGAUAUAGUCCGGCCUCUUUGGCGACAAAGAGAAUUACGCGCAGCUACUGUUUUCGCGCGUAGAUUAACAUAGGCAAAUCGUCCUAAGGUUUCGCUCCUCUCGAAAGAGGGAGGCGGAAGGACUAGGACAUUUGUACUGUGAGCCAAAAAGACGCUGCCUCGCUGUGAAGUAAUUCACAGUUGGUCUUGAAAACAUGGCUAUAUGCUGGAAACUCCUAUGGUACAAUUGCACCAUAGAUGAGCAAUCAGCAGGAAAGGCCAGGAAUUGAAGAGUGGAUCGUCGGCUUUGCCGAUGGCGAAGGAUGUUUCUCAGUAAGCAUUUUUCGCAACAACACCACAAGGCUCGGAUGGCAAGCGUUUCCUGAGUUCGUAAUAACUCAAGGACAGCGAAGCCUUCCGGCGCUCGAAAUCUAUCUGAAGCACUUCAGGUGCGGAAAGAUCUUCGUCAAUAAUCGUUACGAUAAUCAUCAUGAGCAUUUGUAUCGGUAUUGCGUACGAUCAAUAAAGGAUUUACGGGAAAAGAUAAUCCCGUUCUUCCGAAAGCAUCCACUUCGCACUGCGAAGCAGAAAGAUUUUGAGCUAUUCACGGAGAUCGUCGAUAUGAUGACAGAAGGAAAGCAUCAGUCGAUGUCAGGUAUGCGGUCGAUAGCGCGCAAGAUUGAGCGCAUGAAUCGCAAGACCAGAUCUCAAUUCCUGGAAUCCUCAGAGACUACACGCCGUGCUCCCGCUAAGGGAUGAAGAUAUAGUCCAAAGGUUAAGGAACCUAGAGCGAAAUUCCUUGUCUGGUAAGUUCAGACGCGCACGAAUGGUAUAACGACUUGGGAACUGUCUCGGGGAUUUGCUCGGUGAAAAUACAAGGGCGGUGAAGAUGCCGCCUUCCUGCAGCUAGACGAAAAGACCCCAGAAGCUUUACUGCAACUUGGUAUUG